GGCUAAUCCUGGUCGGACAUCAGGAGGUUAGUGCAAUGGCAUAAGCCAGCUUGACUGCGAGCGUGACGGCGCGAGCAGGUGCGAAAGCAGGUCAUAGUGAUCCGGUGGUUCUGAAUGGAAGGGCCAUCGCUCAACGGAUAAAAGGUACUCCGGGGAUAACAGGCUGAUACCGCCCAAGAGUUCAUAUCGACGGCGGUGUUUGGCACCUCGAUGUCGGCUCAUCACAUCCUGGGGCUGAAGUAGGUCCCAAGGGUAUGGCUGUUCGCCAUUUAAAGUGGUACGCGAGCUGGGUUUAGAACGUCGUGAGACAGUUCGGUCCCUAUCUGCCGUGGGCGCUGGAGAACUGAGGGGGGCUGCUCCUAGUACGAGAGGACCGGAGUGGACGCAUCACUGGUGUUCGGGUUGUCAUGCCAAUGGCACUGCCCGGUAGCUAAAUGCGGAAGAGAUAAGUGCUGAAAGCAUCUAAGCACGAAACUUGCCCCGAGAUGAGU
rnacentral:rRNA from 1 species